AGUCUUGAUGCGAAUCUCUGCCUUUCUUCGUCACUAUCAGGUGAUUUAGGGUUUAGGAAUAGAGUUUAUGGUUUUGACUAGUUUCUAUUUGGAUUCUGUGCUAUGUUAUGAUGGUUUGUUCUUGUAAUUUUUUGGUGUAAUUUGAGCCAGAUCAUAUUGGCACUCAAAUUGUUGCUCGUAUUUUGGUUAAGGCACUAAUGGCAAUGCCUGCUCCCGAUUUCAACCUUUGUCUCUUCCUAAUUCCAGAAAGAGUGUGCCAUGCUUGCUGGCCCAAAAUGGGCACCAUUUGCUUCUUGGCUCACUGGCUGCUUCUAGAAAAAUUGUAUAAGGAGAGAUGGAAUCCUGAGGAUGGGGUAGGCAGCAUUAUUACAUCUUCACAAUCCUACUGAAUUAGUGCUUGGAAGCUUCCAAAGCUAGACUCCAAACGGCCAUAAGAGCAACAGAGCUUGCAAAGCUAGACUU